GUCAGAUUGGCCGAGCGGUCUAAGGCGCCAGACGUAAGCUCUGGUUCCCGUAAGGGAGCGUGGGUUCGAACCACACAUCUGACA
rnacentral:tRNA from 1 species